AAUAUGGCAAAUCUGCGCAAGCGCAACGAAACCACUUGUACCAAGCAUCUCUUACGAGAAGCACGCGUUGAUAUUUUCCUACUGUCAUUAUUGUUCGGAUUGCUAAAUUGUUCUUUUUAAUUCUUAAUUUAUACUCAGCGGCGUGACUUUCUAGCAGACGAUAAAAUCCACAAAACAAUGUGCAGUCACAACGAGAAUAGUGGAACAAGAGAUUAUACAAUCAGAAAUGUAUCGACCAAGGAACAACAGACAGUGAUUGCUUUCAAAUCCAAUAGCUCGUGCAAUGAGGAACAAAAUCGUUCAAAUUAUAUGAGAAUAGUUGGCAAUAUACUUAAUGGGCGCGAUGUGAUUGUAGUAACUAAAGAAAACCAAUUAAAAGAUAUCAUUUCUGACGCAGUUGACACAUCUGAUCAAAGAUGUGUGGCAAA
rnacentral:misc_RNA from 1 species